CAGUAGCCACGGUAAUACAGAGGGUGCGAGCGUUAAUCGGAUUUACUGGGCGUAAAGCGUGCGUAGGCGGCUUCUUAAGUCGGAUGUGAAAUCCCUGAGCUUAACUUAGGAAUUGCAUUCGAUACUGGGAAGCUAGAGUAUGGGAGAGGAUGGUAGAAUUCCAGGUGUAGCGGUGAAAUGCGUAGAGAUCUGGAGGAAUACCGAUGGCGAAGGCAGCCAUCUGGCCUAAUACUGACGCUGAGGUACGAAAGCAUGGGGAGCAAACAGGAUUAGAGACCCGCGUAGUCCCUGUCUCUUAUAA
rnacentral:rRNA from 1 species